GUCUAACAAAUUUUUCUGAAAGAUAAUAACAUUCUUGACAAAGAUAGUUUCUCAGAUAAAUCAGAUUCUAAAAAAGUUGUUGAAAUUCAAACCAGUUACUGGACUCACUGGAAUUUGUUGAAAUAUUUGGCAGU
ensembl:ncRNA T04F3.8 ncRNA